UACGACAUGAUGCUAUGGAAGU
rnacentral:miRNA from 1 species